rnacentral:rRNA from 1 species
GACGAACGCUGGCGGCGUGCCUAAUACAUGCAAGUCGAGCGCAGGAAGCCGUCUGAACCCUUCGGGGGGACGACGGUGGAAUGAGCGGCGGACGGGUGAGUAACACGUAAAGAACCUGCCCAUAGGUCUGGGAUAACCACGAGAAAUCGGGGCUAAUACCGGAUGUGUCAUCGGACCGCAUGGUCCGCUGAUGAAAGGCGCUCCGGCGUCGCCCAUGGAUGGCUUUGCGGUGCAUUAGCCAGUUGGUGGGGUAACGGCCCACCAAGGCGGCGAUGCAUAGCCGACCUGGGGGGGUGAUCGGCCACACUGGGACUGAGACACGGCCCAGACUCCUACGGGAGGCAGAAGUAGGGAAUCUUCCACAAUGGACGAAAGUCUGAUGGAGCAACGCCGCGUGAACGAUGAAGGCUUUCGGGUCGUAAAGUUCUGUUGUAAGGGAAGAACAAGUGCCGCAGGCAAUGGCGGCACCUUGACGGUACCUUGCGAGAAAGCCACGGCUAACUACGUGCCAGCCGCCGCGGUAA